rnacentral:tRNA from 1 species
GGGCCCUUAGCUCAGCGGCAGAGCGCUCCGUUUGCAUCGGAGAGGCCACGGGUUCAAUUCCCGUAGGGUCCA